rnacentral:rRNA from 1 species
GAUGAACGCUGGCGGCGUGCCUAAUACAUGCAAGUCGAGCGAACGGACGAGAAGCUUGCUUCUCUGAUGUUAGCGGCGGACGGGUGAGUAACACGUGGAUAACCUACCUAUAGGACUGGGAUAACUUCGGGAAACCGUAGCUAAUACCGGAUAAUAUUUUGAACCGCAUGGUUCAAAAGUGAAAGACGGUCUUGCUGUCACUUAUAGAUGGAUCCGCGCUGCAUUAGCUAGUUGGUAGGGUAACGGCUUACCAAGGCAACGAUGCAUAGCCGACCUGAGAGGGUGAUCGGCCACACUGGAACUGAGACACGGUCCAGACUCCUACGGGAGGCAGCAGUAGGGAAUCUUCCGCAAUGGGCGAAAGCCUGACGGAGCAACGCCGCGUGAGUGAUGAAGGUCUUCGGAUCGUAAAACUCUGUUAUUAGGGAAGAACAUAUGUGUAAGUAACUGUGCACAUCUUGACGGUACCUAAUCAGAAAGCCACGGCUAACUACGUG